AACAUAUCUGGGGGGCACUUUCUCAACAUCUCUUUGUACCUCUCCCAAACUUCAUAAAGGGAUUCUCCAUCUUUCUGCACUAAAGUCUGGAUGUCAUGUCUUGCC